CGAACACGGUUACGAUCAAAUGUAACGCGGGAUACGUACCAGAUGGGGUCUCUAGCAUCACGUGUCAGGCAGAUCGCUCGUGGAGUGCCGUAUUACCAACAUGCAGACCCGUUCAGUGCCCACCAUUGACAGCCCCUGUAAAUGGCGCAUUGAGUCAGACUGGAGCAACCUCAUACUCGGACGUGGUGCAGUUCCUCUGCAACACAGGUUACGAAUCAGACGGUGCCACCAGUGCUACUUGCCGGGCUGACCAAACAUGGAGUGCAACUACUCCGACUUGCAGAGUUGUGCAGUGCCCGGUAUUGUCAGACCCAUUGAACGGAGCUGUGAGUCCUGCCGGAGCGAACUCCUACAACAAUGUGGUCAACUUCAACUGUGACACAGGAUACCGACUGAGCGGAGUCUCUACUCUGACGUGUCGAGCCGACGGAUCAUGGAAUAAUGCGAUUCCAACAUGUACAGUUGUAACAUGCCAGACGUUGACGACCCCAACUAACGGAGCGCUGAAUCCGACCGGAGCGAACUCCUACC